rnacentral:rRNA from 1 species
UACGUAGGGGGCUAGCGUUGUCCGGAAUCAUUGGGCGUAAAGCGCGUGUAGGCGGCCCGGUAAGUCCGCUGUAAAGUCCAGGGCUCAACCCUGGGAUGCCGGUGGAUACUGUCGGGCUCGAGUCCGGAAGAGGCGAGUGGAAUUCCUGGUGUAGCGGUGAAAUGCGCAGAUAUCAGGAGGAACACCAAUGGCGAAGGCAGCUCGCUGGGACGUGACUGACGCUGAGACGCGAAAGCGUGGGGAGCGAACAGG